rnacentral:rRNA from 1 species
AUUGAACGCUGGCGGCGUGCUUGACACAUGCAAGUCUAUCGGUAACAGGUGUAGCAAUACAUGCUGACGAGAGGCGGACGGGUGAGGAAUAUUUGGGAAUCUGCCCAUCAGCGGGGGACAACCCGGGGAAACCCGGGCUAAUACCGCAUACGCUCUACGGAGGAAAGCCGGGGACCGCAAGGCCUGGCACUGAUGGAUGAGCCCAAAUCGGAUUAGCUAGUUGGCGGGGUAACGGCCCACCAAGGCGACGAUCCGUAGCUGGUCUGAGAGGACGAUCAGCCACACCGGAACUGAGACACGGUCCGGACUCCUACGGGAGGCAGCAGUGGGGAAUAUUGGACAAUGGGGAAACCCUGAUCCAGCGACGCCGCGUGGGUGAAGAAGGCCUGCGGGUUGUAAAGCCCUUUCGGUAGGGACGAAAGCUCUUGCUCUAAUAAUGCAAGAGGUUGACUUAACCUACAUAAGAAGCACCGGCUAACUCUGUGCCAGCCGCCGCCGUAA